GUCUACGGCCAUACCACCCUGAACGCGCCCGAUCUCGUCUGAUCUCGGAAGCUAAGCAGGGUCGGGCCUGGUUAGUACUUGGAUGGGAGAAAUUAAAACCAAGACU
rnacentral:rRNA from 1 species